rnacentral:misc_RNA from 1 species
GUCCCGUAUGAUUUUGAUAGCACGCUUUCGCACGCUUACUCCAGUAUCCUUUAUUCUCUCCGCCAACUUCUCAAAGUACUUCAGACCAACAUCAGGAUAUGAAGCAAUAUGCCUGCCUACAAGUUCCAACGCAGCUUCUCGGGCAGAUAUAGCAGAGUCACAAAACCUCCCUUCCACUGCUGUUUGGACAAGCUUAUCACCCAAAACCUCUGGGUCAGCCUCAACAAUGAUACUAACUGCUCGCAAUGCCUUUGCACGAAUGAUUGGAGAGUUCUCCCGCAAACUUGCCUGUAAAG